UACGUAGGGUGCAAGCGUUAAUCGGAAUUACUGGGCGUAAAGCGUGCGCAGGCGGUUGUGCAAGACCGAUGUGAAAUCCCCGGGCUUAACCUGGGAAUGGCAUUGGUGGCUGCACGGCUAGAGUGUGUCAGAGGGGGGUAGAAUUCCACGUGUAGCAGUGAAAUGCGUAGAGAUGUGGAGGAAUACCGAUGGCGAAGGCAGCCCCCUGGGAUAACACUGACGCUCAUGCACGAAAGCGUGGGGAGCAAACAGG
rnacentral:rRNA from 1 species